GGCAGCGUAGCUCAGUGGUAGAGCAGGGGAAUCAUAAUCCCUUGGUCGGGUGUUCAAAUCACCCCGCUGCUACCA
rnacentral:tRNA from 1 species